AGAGAGAGACAUGCGCGCAUAUCAAUAAGCGGAGGAAAAGAAACUAACAAGGAUUCCCUUAGUAACGGCGAGUGAAGCGGGAAGAGCUCAAAUUUGAAAUCUUCAAGGUUUUACCUUGACGAAUUGUAGUUUAAAGAAGUGUUUUCUGCUGAAGUUUUGGUAAAAGUUCUUUGGAAUAGGACAUCAUAGAGGGUGAGAAUCCCGUAUUUGACCAUUAUUUUCAGCUUUGUGAUACACUUUCAAAGAGUCGGAUUGUUUGGGAAUGCAGUCCAAAAUGGGUGGUAAAUUUCAUCUAAAGCUAAAUAUUGGCGAGAGACCGAUAGCGAACAAGUACCGUGAGGGAAAGAUGAAAAGAACUUUGAAAAGAGAGUUAAACAGUACGUGAAAUUGUCAAAAGGGAAGCGUGUGACACCAGUGUUGUUUUCUCGAAAAUCAAUUAAAAAUGGCUCGAUUUUGUAUUGCUUGAGACCUUAAAAGCUCACUGUACAUUUUUCGUGUCUUUUUUAAUGCACUUUUCGUUUAACAAGUCAACAUCAGUUUCUUUUGCUGUAAAAGGGUCAUUGGAAGGUGGCUUUCUUUUCGGAGAAAGUGUUUAUAGCCUUUGGCCUCUGCAAUCGAAGAGACUGAGGUCUGCAGCGUAGAUCCUUCGGGGUUAGAUACAUUUGUGCUAAGUUAUAGCUUUUUAUAGACAACUUGUUGACUAUAAUUAGUCUUGUAGCUUACUCGCUUAUGCUAUUUUACCUACGCUUAGGAUGUUGAGUCGUAGAGCACGCAG
rnacentral:rRNA from 1 species